UACCGUCCUCCACUUUAGGAGCUCACUCUGUGACGUCAUGGCCGGUCACUACCAGUGUUAUGUUUUUUUUAAUAAUAUUGUUUUGACAACAUAAUUCCUGUAACAACAAGGGAAGCCAAAGUUAUACAAAGUGGACGAACGAUGGGCUUCAUAUGCGAAGACUGUGCACGGUUUGUGAACCUAAUGAAAGAGUGAUUAAUUUGUGGACAGACAAAUAACGCUUUAUGACGCAAUUCAUAGUGAAAAUAUUACUAAAUAAAUAAAACGGGCGCAUGUUGCUGCCGGUAGACCCGUGUCGCCGGCUACUUGUGACGUCUGUGCUGGCCCCUGGCAGCGGCCGCCCGCAAUGCUGGCCACUGCCCCACGGGGCACUGACUCUGGAUCAGUGGAGCACAGUGCGGCUCGUGUUCUCGUCGAAGGAAGCAGUUGGUGCACGUGGGUGGCGGAUACUCGCUCGGCGAGUCACUUGUAUGGAUGACGGUCUGUCUGUGUUCGGGGCUGCUACGAGGCAAGGCGGGGCUGUCCUGUAUUAACUGUCCGCUGGCUGCUGGAUGACUUGAACUGCAGCUGGCUACUCGCUCGCGAGGCGAGUGGCUUUAUGAAGUGGCGUGAAAUAUGCCUGUGACGCAAGUUUCCAGAAGCCUGGCUCCAGUGCCGUGCAAGUGUGAUGGAUGUGGCAAUCAAAUCAAACGAACAGACGCUCUGAAAAUACAUGAAGAGACAUGUAAAGGACUGGUUUAGUAAACCUUGUGAAAUCGAAUGAAUGAAUUUAAAUUAUAGGUAUUGUGUAUGCUAGGUUUUUGUAGUA